UUCCUACGAGGGGCAGCAGUGAGGAAUAUUGGUCAAUGGCCGGAAGGCUGAACCAGCCAAGUCGCGUGAGGGAAUAAGGCCCUAUGGGUCGUAAACCUCUUUUGUCAGGGAACAAAGGCGGGGACGCGUCCCCGGAUGAGUGUACCUGAAGAAAAAGCAUCGGCUAACUCCGUGCCAGCAGCCGCGGUAAUACGGAGGAUGCGAGCGUUAUCCGGAUUUAUUGGGUUUAAAGGGUGCGCAGGCGGUCUGUUAAGUCAGCGGUCAAAGCCCGGGGCUCAACCCCGGCCCGCCGUUGCAACUGGCAG
rnacentral:rRNA from 1 species